rnacentral:rRNA from 1 species
UACGAAGGGGGCUAGCGUUGCUCGGAAUCACUGGGCGUAAAGGGUGCGUAGGCGGCGCGGUAAGUCGGGUGUGAAAUCUUGGAGCUUAACUCCGAAACUGCAUUCGAUACUGCCGUGCUUGAGGACUGGAGAGGAGACUGGAAUUUACGGUGUAGCGGUGAAAUGCGUAGAUAUCGUAAGGAAGACCAGUGGCGAAGGCGGGUCUCUGGACAGUUCCUGACGCUGAAGCACGAAGGCCAGGGAGCAAACGGG